rnacentral:rRNA from 1 species
UGGGGAAUCUUGCACAAUGGGGGCAACCCUGAUGCAGCGACGCCGCGUGAGCGAUGAAGCCCUUCGGGGCGUAAAGCUCUUUCGACCGGAACGAUAAUGACGGUACCGGGAGAAGAAGCUGCGGCUAACUACGUGCCAGCAGCCGCGGUAAUACGUAGGCAGCAAGCGUUGUUCGGAGUUACUGGGCGUAAAGAGUGCGUAGGCGGUUUUCUAAGUUCGGUGUGAAAUCUCCCGGCUUAACUGGGAGGGUGCGCCGAAGACUGGGAAGCUGGAGUGUGGGAAAGGCAGGCGGAAUUCCUGUGUAGCGGUGAAAUGCGUAGAUAUCAGGAGGAACACCGGCGGUGUAGACGGCUUGCUAGACCAUAACUGACGCUGAGGCACGAAAGCGUGGGUAGCAAACA